UGAUCUCCAGCAUCUGCAGUCCUCGCUUUCUCCUAGAAGAUUUUAACCUACUGCGAAUCCUCUUAGAAGGAUGCCUUCCUUGAGGAAGCUCGCUUCCUCCCUC